rnacentral:rRNA from 1 species
AUUGAACGCUGGCGGCAUGCUUUACACAUGCAAGUCGAACGGCAGCGCGGGCUUCGGCCUGGCGGCGAGUGGCGAACGGGUGAGUAAUGCAUCGGAACGUGCCCAGUAGUGGGGGAUAGCCCGGCGAAAGCCGGAUUAAUACCGCAUACGACCUGAGGGUGAAAGCGGGGGACCGAAAGGCCUCGCGCGAUUGGAGCGGCCGAUGUCGGAGUAGCUAGUUGGUGGGGUAAAGGCUUACCAAGGCGACGAUCCGUAGCUGGUCUGAGAGGACGACCAGCCACACUGGGACUGAGACACGGCCCAGACUCCUACGGGAGGCAGCAGUGGGGAAUUUUGGACAAUGGGGGCAACCCUGAUCCAGCCAUGCCGCGUGCGGGAAGAAGGCCUUCGGGUUGUAAACCGCUUUUGUUCGGGAAGAAAUCCUCUGGGCUAAUACCCCGGGGGGAUGACGGUACCGGAAGAAUAAGCACCGGCUAACUACGUG